rnacentral:rRNA from 1 species
GGCCUAACACAUGCAAGUCGAGGGGUAGAGAGAGCUUGCUUUCUUGAGACCGGCGCACGGGUGCGUAACGCGUAUGCAACCUACCUUUAUCUGGGGGAUAGCCCGAAGAAAUUCGGAUUAACACCGCAUAAAAUCACAGUAUCGCAUGGUACAAUGAUCAAAUAUUUAUAGGAUGAAGAUGGGCAUGCGUGUCAUUAGUUAGUUGGCGGGGUAACGGCCCACCAAGACCACGAUGGCUAGGGGAUCUGAGAGGAUGGCCCCCCACACUGGUACUGAGACACGGACCAGACUCCUACGGGAGGCAGCAGUAAGGAAUAUUGGUCAAUGGAGGCAACUCUGAACCAGCCAUGCCGCGUGCAGGAAGACAGCCCUCUGGGUCGUAAACUGCUUUUAUUCGGGAAUAAACCUACUUACGUGUAAGUAGCUGAAUGUACCGAAGGAAUAAGGAUC